rnacentral:ncRNA from 1 species
ACGGCCACCUCGGGGUGCCGGUUUCCGGCUGAGAUGCCCGGUCGCAAGGCCAUGGGUGAACCCGUUGAACCUGACCCGGUUAAUUCCGGCGGAGGAAAGGUCCGGACUUGAGAU